CCCGGGGUGGAGCAGCCCGGUAGCUCGUCAGGCUCAUAACCUGAAGGUCACAGGUUCAAAUCCUGUCCCCGCAACCA
rnacentral:tRNA from 1 species